AUCCUCUCUCCUUUUUAAAACUUUUUUCUUUGUUUUGAGAAAUUUAAAUCUUUCUUAGAAACCUAAUUUUUUAGAUUCGUAUUCCGACGACUCUGUACAUCAUCAUCAUGUCUCUUACACGAAUCAUCAAGUGUUUGAAAAUAUCAAUCAAUAUAAUAUAAAUUAGAGAUGCCAAAAUGGAUUAUAACCCACGGGCCAUAACCACGAGACAUGUUCAAGUAACCCGAGUGGAUCUAGACAUAUAUAUUGUGAAGGAAAAGUAAAGCAAGAUUUUCGUGAUACGAAAAGAUUAAAAAAGUAUUCUUUGUGGGUGAUACGAGGAACGUGACAUUGCUUCUUAGAGAUUUUCUGCAUUAUCCUAGCCAAGACAGUUGCUGGAUAAUUCCACUUAACUUGAGGAACAAGUUAAGUCAUAAAAGUGAAGUUUGAUGGGUUAAGGAAAAAGAAAAACAUAUCGAACUUAGGAAUAUUUUAAUAUUAUUAUUAGGUUAAGAAGUAGCUUAGUCCUAUAUAAAGAAGUCUCGUGGACAAAUGUAAUAUCAAAAGAAACAUAUUGAGAGAUUUAGUUUUGAGUGAGUUUCUAAAUCUAAUAAAAAGAUAACUUCUUAGAAGGAUUAUCCUGGCCUAGACCGAAUGGAAAUGCGGGAGGAGAUAUUUCAUUGCGGAGGCUCCUGGUGAUAGAAGAGAUUGGAUCUCUUAAGUAGCCUGGCGCGGAGUCAUAUAUGAUGAGGUGAUCUUGGAUGGAAACCGGAGCUUCUAGCUCUAGUGGUAAAGGGCUUACACCUUUGAGUACUGCCACUUGGGUUCGAGUCCCGGCCACUGGAGAAUUAACAUUUCGGCAUCGCCAGGGACAGAGGACCGACACGUGGCAACACGUGACUAGUCUGGAUCACUUAUGUGGAGCCAGGAUACCUCUGUAUAAUUCAAAAAAAAAAAGAUCUUCGAUGGAAUCGUGGUCCAAGAUUCGCAUUACAAUGGUUUGCAAAAUCCAUCUUAUGGCGUAUGGCUUUAGUGACGAUGCCUUGUGGGCAUGUGACUUAUUAGUUGAUAAGAAUCAUCCGGUCUAAAGAGAACAUAGUUGGACAAGAUGAUAGAUCAGUCGAUAUGCUUCAUGAGCAUGGUGUGUUCCUGUUUAUGAGCAGGAGGUUGUGGCCUGAGCCAGCAGAGCACUGCAGAGGAAAUGCUUGACCUGGACGAAGGAAAAAAACGUUAUAAAGGCAGUUCUCCAUGGUAUGUAUGUUCUGACUCUGGUUUGUUGUCGAACCUUUUGGAGAUUCUUCUGCCUUUGAAUUUUAUUAUUCUGUAGGAUAUUCUUGUUGUGCCUAGCGGAUCAUGAUUUCAAUGUCAAAGUAAAUUCAAAUUUCAAGAAUUGAUUUUUGUUUUGAAUAAAGCUAUCUUUCCUUUUAUACUGGCUGUGUAUCCGAGAAAAGGAGCAAUGCCUUUCUUUGGUUCCUUUAUAUCUCUAUUUUAUUUUCAUUUUCAUAUAUGGUAUUCAGAUUUCUUUUUCUCAUGCUGCAACUUCCAUUAGCAUCACUACCUUUUCCAAAUCCGCAGUCCUAUUUUGUAUUCGCAUUGAAGGUAAUCUUCUUGUCUUCUGGUCAUAGAUUCCUAGGGACUAGAUAUGAUAAGUUUUGGUUAUUAUUUUAUUUUUAGAUUAAUUGGCAAGGUUGUCUCUCCGUCGAUUCGUCCCCGGUGUCCAGGUUAGAGAUGGAUGAUAUGUCAGGUCGAAUUCUGUUCCCUUUGUCCUCGGUGGGCGUGGGUGGUAGGGUUAAGCUGAAGGGAAAGCUUGGAUCAGUUAUCUCAGAGUAUGAUAGUUUUUGGGAACCCUCGAUCGACAUGCAAAUCCCAGAACCGAUAGCUUAUUCUAUCGAGAUGCUUUUCAAGGUGGAACCUUCUUCACUGAUAAGAGAAGAAGAUAUGAGGGAAUUGAAGGAGAACUAUUUAUUGCCUACAUUACAUAUGUAAUAUGAUUCAAUGAUGGAUUACAUAUCGAUAAGCAGCUUGACAAAUAAAUACUUAUA